rnacentral:rRNA from 1 species
GACAGAGGAUGCAAGCGUUAUCCGGAAUGAUUGGGCGUAAAGCGUCUGUAGGUGGCUUCUUAAGUCCGCUGUCAAAUCCCAGGGCUUAACCCUGGCCAGGCGGUGGAGACUACUAAGCUUGAGUACGGUAGGGGCAGAGGGAAUUUCCGGUGGAGCGGUGAAAUGCGUAGAGAUCGGAAAGAACACCAAGGGCGAAAGCACUCUGCUGGGCCGACACUGACACUGAGAGACGAAAGCUAGGGGAGCGAAUGGG